GACACUUUUUAAUGCUUCGAGAAACAGAAUUUCAUCGAGAUUUUGCAUGUGCGCGAUAUACAUUAAAAAGUGUAGCAUGUUACACGGCCUUCCAUCGAAUUGCGCUCAAACGUAUGAUGUACUUCACGUACCAUACAAGAUAUUCUACAUGAAUUUCUGAAAAUGAACAUUCUAAUGAAGAUGCACCACACACCUGUCAAGAAUUCUCUAACUUCGAACAAUAGAGACGAGACGUAUGUAUAUACGAAUAUGUGUGCAAAUAUAUUAGCGUACAUCAAUCUGUGCUAUAUGUAAAAUAAUAUAAAUUUAAAAUAGUCUCGUGCAUACCAUUAUAAAAAACAUUGACCUUUAUAUUGUGGACGUUACAUAAUAUUACUCGAAUAACGAAUAAAUCUACGAUCUAUAGUGAGAUGAUUAAAUCGAAGGACACCUUCUCUUGUUGUAUUUGGAUCUAGAGGACGGAGCAGUACUAGCAGGUGUAUCUAUUGCUGCAGUUACCAGUACCACCAGGAACCAGGUAGCAACAGACAUGGAUG